rnacentral:rRNA from 1 species
UACAGAGGUCUCAAGCGUUGUUCGGAAUCACUGGGCGUAAAGGGUGCGUAGGUGGCGUGGUAAGUCAGAUGUGAAAGCCCGGGGCUCAACCUCGGAAUUGCAUCCGAUACUACCAUGCUAGAGUACUGAAGAGGUGACUAGAAUUCUCGGUGUAGCAGUGAAAUGACGUAGAUAUCGAGAGGAAUACCAACGGCGAAGGCAGGUCACUGGGCAGUUACUGACACUGAGGCACGAAGGCCAGGGGAGCAAACGGG